GAUGGAUCAACGGCUGAGAAGAAAAAGAUCUU
rnacentral:sRNA from 1 species